rnacentral:rRNA from 1 species
UGGGGAAUAUUGCACAAUGGGCGCAAGCUUGAUGCAGCCAUGCCGCGUGUAUGAAGAAGGCCUUCGGGUUGUAAAGUACUUUCAGCGGGGAGGAAGGGAGUAAAGUUAAUACCUCUGCUCAUUGACGUUACCCGCAGAAGAAGCACCGGCUAACUCCGUGCCAGCAGCCGCGGUAAUACGGAGGGUGCAAGCGUUAAUCGGAAUUACUGGGCGUAAAGCGCACGCAGGCGGUUUGUUAAGUCAGAUGUGAAAUCCCCGGGCUCAACCUGGGAACUGCAUCUGAUACUGGCAAGCUUGAGUCUCGUAGAGGGGGGUAGAAUUCCAGGUGUAGCGGUGAAAUGCGUAGAGAUCUGGAGGAAUACCGGUGGCGAAGGCGGCCCCCUGGACGAGGACUGACGCUCAGGUGCGAAAGCGUGGGGAGCCAACAGG